UACAGAGGGUGCAAGCGUUGUUCGGAAUUAUUGGGCGUAAAGGGAGUGUAGGCGGUUUGGAAAGUCUUCUGUGAAAUCUACGGGCUUAGCCUGUAACGUGCAGAGGAAACUUCCAGGCUUGAGUGUCGGAGAGGACAGGGGAAUACCCAGUGUAGAGGUGAAAUUCGUAGAGAUUGGGUGGAACACCAGUGGCGAAGGCGCCUGUCUGGCUGACAACUGACGCUGAGGCGCGAAAGCCAGGGGAGCAAACGGG
rnacentral:rRNA from 1 species